AGCCAUGCAGUGAGCACAGAGCGAACUAUUCUUUCGCCUUUUACUAAAGAAUACCGUGUGCUCAUUGUAAUGAGUGGCAUACUCUAAUUUUUUUAAGGUGUUUCUCUUUAUAUGGAGAAA
rnacentral:snRNA from 1 species